rnacentral:rRNA from 1 species
AGUCGAGCGGUUGAGGUAGCUUGCUACCGAUGCAGCGGCGAACGGGUGAGUAAUACAUGGGAAUCUGCCUUAGUGGGGGACAACGUUUCGAAAGGAACGCUAAUACCGCAUACGCCCUACGGGGGAAAGGGGGGGAUCGCAAGACCUCCCGCUAUCAGAUGAGCCCAUGUCAGAUUAGCUUGUGGUGAGGUAAAGGCUCACCAAGGCGACGAUCUGUAACUGGUCUGAGAGGAUGAUCAGUCACACUGGAACUGAGACACGGUCCAGACUCCUACGGGAGGCAGCAGUGGGGAAUAUUGGACAAUGGGCGCAAGCCUGAUCCAGCCAUGCCGCGUGUGUGAAGAAGGCCUUAGGGUUGUAAAGCACUUUCAGUGGGGAGAAAGGUCAUUCACCUAAUACGUGAGUGAAUUGAUGUUACCCACAGAAGAAGCACCGGCUAACUCCGUGCCAGCAGCCGCGGUAAACGGAGGGUGCAAGCGUUAAUCGGAAUUACUGGGCGUAAAGCGUACGUAGGUGGUUUGUUAAGCCAGCUGUGAAAUCCCCGGGCUCAACCUGGGCACUGCAGUUGGAACUGGCAAGCUAGAGU